rnacentral:rRNA from 1 species
GUAGGGAAUAUUGGGCAAUGGUCGGAAGACUGACCCAGCCAUGCCGCGUGCAGGAAGACGGCCCUCUGGGUUGUAAACUGCUUUUAUCUGGGAAGAAAAAGGCCAUGCGUGGCAAAUUGCCGGUACCAGAUGAAUAAGCACCGGCUAACUCCGUGCCAGCAGCCGCGGUAAUACGGAGGGUGCGAGCGUUGUCCGGAUUUAUUGGGUUUAAAGGGUGCGUAGGCGGCUGAUUAAGUCAGCGGUGAAAGACUUCGGCUUAACCGGAGCAGUGCCGUUGAUACUGGUUGGCUUGAGUGUCGGAAGGGUACAUGGAAUUGAUGGUGUAGCGGUGAAAUGCAUAGAUACCAUCAGGAACACCGAUAGCGAAGGCAUUAUACUGGCCGACAACUGACGCUGAUGCACGAAAGUGUGGGGAUCGAACAGGAUUAGAUACCCGGGUAGUCC